GAACCCCUGCAAUACCGCCGCAGGCCCCAGUUUGAAAACCCUUGAUGUAGAGCACUGCAAAGCACAAACAAGACAGAUUGGAGGAUCUUCCAGCUUUCCUGAACGUGAAAGGUGCAGCUGUCAUUCCCCUGAAUAUGCUUCACAUCCCAACUGAUAAGGAUUUGUGUAGACAGGGUGCAUUGGAGGGAUGGUUCUUCUGUCACUCUGAAGAAUGAUACAUCACACAGACGGAUUACCUGACAGUCUCCUGUAGAAUUCUCUGAUACAGAGCAGAAUUCGUAGCUCCUUCAAUUAUGCAAGUCGUCCAGGUCCUGAGGCAGCAAAGCAUCCCACUACCACCACCAUGCUUGACAGUUGGUUUAAGGUUCUUACUGUGAAAUGCAUUGUUUGAUUUUGACCAGCCAAAAUGUUGACUCAAGUUUGUCAAAAAGCAUCUGGAAGCACCUGGAUGAUGAUCAAGACUCAUGGAAGAAUUUUCUAUGGACAGACGAUUCAAACAUAUACCUUUUCGGAUGAAAUGGGUCCUAUUAUGCCUGGUCACUUACACUGUACUUUUAAUGUUAUCUCAACUGCAAUCCUGGUCAUUUGGUUGUGCUAUUAGAAGAAGCACAGUGAUAACACAUUACAUUUUUGUAUAAAUACAAAAUAUCUGACAUUGUAUUUACAUUUGAACUUUGUUGUGCUUUUAAAUGGUUGAAAGCGCAGUGAUAGUACAUUUACAUAAUGACAACUAAUUUUAAAAAUCUUAUAGUUUUUCCAUUGGAAUUUGGUUGUGCUUUUAGAUGGUUGGAAGUGAUAACACAUUGGGAAUUCAACACACUUCUGGCUGUCAUUUUGAGAGGGUGAAUAAAGGUUGAAAUCUCAUUGAUCAACGUCAAUCAAACAUUACCCACAUUCCCAUGUUGAAAUUAUUUGGUGUGCCCAGGGGGAAGCUACAGAGUGUGCCUUUAUUC
ensembl:lncRNA